CAGGACGGGCUAAUAGAGCACAGAAGCAGUAUUUUUGGUUGUUUAAAUCCUAAACUGAGACGAGCGAGCGCUGAGGAAGCGAACGCAGCCCCUGCGGGGCCGGGCCCUCCUGGUACCCUCCGACACAAGCACAAAGGCAUUGGGGAGGCAGGUGAAGCCCUCAAAGAGCUUUAAUUGGGGUCCUGCAGCUCCCCGGGACACUGGGCUACAGCUGGGCUGUGCCAUGGGGCUGUGCUGUGGGGCUGCCCCUGCUCACAGCAUGGGGGUGCCGAGGCCUCCCCGGGGCUGCGUUCCCUUCGCCGUCGCCGUCUCACCUUAUGUCUAUUGUAAGUAAUUUAUAUGGGUUGGUUUUGUUGUUUCCAAAUGUAUAUAUUUUUGUAUGUUUGCUAUAUUUUCAUAGCAUCGGUCCCGUGUUUGAAACCUGUAGAUAGGAGACAGAACACUAUUGUCAGAGUUAUUUAAAGGAUGUAUUAAGUGCUUCUUCCUGGGAAUGUCCCGUGUAUAUAAGGUGUGCGUGGGGUGCGUGUGCUCGCCCUCCUCCCCGCCGGGGCUGCCUCUGGGCUGGUGCCAGGGGAGGGGACGUCAGGGUGUUCCCAGAGCUGCUCCGUGCUUUGGGAAUGUGAGAGGGUUGAAGGGAGGAGUUCAGCAGCAAGACCAGGGAAUGUGCCUCGGGUCGGAUCUUGCCUCUGAUGCUGGUGGUCCUGGCAGCAUCCUGCCCCUGGCAGGGAGACCAUUGCAGGCAGAGAGAGGGUCUUCUCAGCCACUUCCAUUGCUCAUCACAUCACCUCUGGAGUCUCCCCAUCCAGCUCCCAGCACUUCUGCCAUGCUGUGAUAGGUACUUCUAAAGCUUUCAUUCCAGCUCUCCAUAUGGCCCCAUGUCCUUUAUGGACCGAAGGACACAGGAGGACGCGGGUGCUCUUUGAUACUGGUGUAAGUAAGUUGCCUUUGGAAAACUCAGCUGAGAGGAAGGACAGGCUGCGGAAAUGUCGCAGAAGGAUGUGGGCAGCAGGAGCGUGGUGUAGCUUGAAGAUCAUGUGAAGUGAGGUGGUGGUUGGUCACCACAGAGGUUGGUGCAAGAGCAGAUUGCACAGAGGGAAGUGGAGUGUGGAGGGGAGGAAAAUACGAGUAACCACAGAGCUUUGGGAAUGGGGAGGAAAGGCAGGUAGAGGAGAUGACAGAGAAGUGCCUGUGGUUCAGCAGCAGGAGAUGAGGAUUCCAGCAAGGCAGCUGCCUUGUAUUUUUUGGUUCCUUUUACUUACCGAGCAGCCCGGCCACCAGGCUCAACCCUGGCAGAUGCCCACGGCUCACUCUGGCCACAGUGGCCACCAGUGCUGGUGCAAGUGCCUGCAAGCGAUGUCCAAAACCCCCUAAGGCAGUAAAAGGAGCAGCAGUGGGAUGGGCCAGGACACAGGGAUGUGGCACUGCAGCUCUGAUAGUGGCACUGGGCACGUGUCUGCAGUCCCAUCCAGCUCAUUGCCCCUCUAGUGCAUCUUCCCUGGGGCAUGGAAGGAUUUAGUUAUAAAGUAAAAGCUUAUUUGAUGAGCUAAGCACAGGAGAAACUUGGGAAUUCUGUUCUAUCCUUAAAGCCAAAGUUUGGGACUCUUUGACUGUGCAUCUGACAGGAAGGUGCUGGAGAAGUAUUUAGUUGCUUUUGUCUUUGUGGGUAGUUGCUGUUUAUGAAGUUGCUCAUUUCCAUCACUGCUGCAUCAAGCCUGCAGGAAUGCUUUUGCCCAACAGGGAGAUGGGAAAAGGAGAGGGGCUGUAGGCACCGUGCUGCUGGGUGGCCACCAGCUCUUUACUCUCCUUUGGGCUCUUAUGGGGGAGAUCUACAACUGCACCAGAAGAGCCACUUUAACCUCUAGCUCCGUGCCCGGCUAUACCCAUUGCAUCCCUCUCCUGCUGCAGUGGAGCAACGUGCAUAGACCCAGCCACCCCCGAGGGCCAUGUGGGAAUGUUCCGUGAGUAAAACGAACCAAGCAGGUCUUGGGAAGCCAAAAAGUUCAUUUCUCAGCCCCUCACCAGCCCCAGGGCUUGAGUGUGCUCAUAGAGAAGAGGUUGUUGAUGGGAGUGAAGAGUGGGAAGGAGACAGAGGCAAGAGGCAGCGGGUGCAGGGCCCCGGCUGCUCGGACCAGCCCAUACUAAGCUAAAGGGAGGGUGAAACAGGGAUGUGGAGUGUCAGGAAUUUUGUUCCCAAGUGCCUGUUUCUCACUGAGCUUGUGCCGUGUGUGUGUGUGUGUGAGUGACUUGAUGCGUGUGACUUACCAAGUGCUUCUUCUAAUCGAAGAGGAGCAGAAACGGGAUCAGACAACUGCCCUCCUUCUUCCCUUCGCUUGAAGCACGGAGAGCAGCUCUGGAACCCAGGGUCGGUUCUUGCAAAGCCAAACGCCUCCUCCCUGAGGGCCACCACUGACAGCUUUUGGGUAACCACAGUUCUCAUCCCCCAGCUAAGGUACCGUGUUCACAUGCACGUGGCUGCAGCCAGAGCUCCUCGUCCUGGCCUUAGCCCCUCACCUGCACUCAGUGUGACUCGCAGCCCUGGCCAAGCAAUCCUCCUGAAUGUAUAUUUCUGUGUUUGUAGUCACCAUGAGAUGGUCUCUUAUUUAUUGUCUUAAGUCCUACAAAGAUGCCACAGUAUCAAGCUGCUUAAAUAAAAUCCCCAUCCAUCAGUUUAAAAGGGAGAGGGAGGGACAUAUAUAAGUGCUUUCUUUAAAGAACAAAGGAUUGUGACCAAUAUGCCAACUGUUAGUGUGGGGUCAGCAUUUCACUGCAACCAGAACUAGCGUAUUUUUUAAUUGUGGGGAUGUUUCUUACAAAAUGACAAGGUCAAAUAAAAGAUGACUGCUC
ensembl:lncRNA